rnacentral:rRNA from 1 species
UACGAAGGGGGCUAGCGUUGCUCGGAAUUACUGGGCGGAAAGGGCGCGUAGGCGGCACUGUUAGUCAGGCGUGAAAUUCCUGGGCUCAACCUGGGGACUGCGCUUGAUACGGCAGAGCUUGAGGAUGGAAGAGGGUCGCGGAAUUCCCAGUGUAGAGGUGAAAUUCGUAGAUAUUGGGAAGAACACCGGUGGCGAAGGCGGCGACCUGGUCCAUUACUGACUUUCAGGUACGAAAGCGUGGGUAGCAAACAGG